CCUACGGGGGGCUGCAGUGGGGAAUAUUGGACAAUGGGCGCAAGCCUGAUCCAGCCACGCCGCGUGAGUGAUGAAGGCCUUCGGGUCGUAAAGCUCUGUGGGGAGGGACGAACAAACCGCUGAAGAGGCGGGACUGACGGUACCUCCUUAGCAAGCACCGGCUAACUUCGUGCCAGCAGCCGCGGUAAUACGAAGGGUGCAAACGUUGCUCGGAAUCAUUGGGCGUAAAGCGCACGUAGGCGGCCCGUUAAGUCGGAUGUGAAAUCCCUCGGCUC
rnacentral:rRNA from 1 species